CCUGUGUGUGUGUGUGUGUGUGUGUGUGUGUGUGUGUGUGUGUGUGUGUGUGUGUGUGUGUGUGUGUGUGUGUGUGUGUGUGUGUGUGUGUGUGUGUGUGUGUGUGUGUGUGUGUUGGUGUGCAUGUCAGGGUCCACAGCCCCUAUGGCUGGGGACAGUUGUGUGCAUAGCUUACGUUCCUAACCAUAGUGUUUCUUUAUUGCUGAUAUCCUUCGGCCCCCUCCUCAUAACUCACCUCUGUAUUUAUGUCUCCUUCACGCAUGACCAGACAGGGCCACACAAAAUGAGUCCUUAGAGAGAUCCACGCACACGCACACAGACACAAGGACACACAGACACACGGACACACACGCACACACACACACACACACACACACAGUAGGAAAAGUACUGCUGAUGCGUCAACGGGGAACAGCUGUGGCUGCAGAACAGUAAGAUAUGGCAACAGCAGGUGAAAAUGAUGUCAUUGUGAUUUUGGGAGCAGAUGGGGAAUACAGGACCUGCACAGUAGUAACGGGAUACACGUGAAGCAUGUAUUUAGCCCGUGAAGGUGUUCUUAACACAUAUGCCCUUUUGUUUGAGUGAACAACACUGCUUUAUGAAUGAAGGCGGUGUAAAGAUUAUAGUCGUGCCCGGGCCUUGUGAAUUUAUUUGUGCGGGACAAAAAGAGGGAAGACGAGAAGACGCUGUUAUUGGAAUGGUUGGGUUAUGAACUCGGGGCCACCUGGCCAAAAUAGGCCCCUCCAACGUCCUCCACCCAUCACUCAUCACAGCACAAUGAAACGGGGUUGUUCCUUCAAUGUGUUUUUUAUUGUAGUAGCAUGUUGGCAGUGUGUCCAAAGAAUCAGACCGGCUUACCUAUAAAGUUGUAUUUUAAUCUAUAGUAUUUAAAUAUUUGAAUUGACAUGAGUAUACACAGUCCAACAAGGGAUUUAAUGUUUUACCCUUCUCGUGCACAACAUGAAUCCACUUCUGCGCUCAUAAAAUGUCUUGUUUCCAGCAUCGUCGUACUUUAGUAUAUAUUUUAGCGUUCAAUAUCAGUACCACAUGUAGCCCACUAUGUGUUUUUCCCCAUAUGUCUAAAACAGUAACAUUGGUGAGCAUCUGGAAAGAUGGAGUUGUAUAGUUUCCCAUCGGUCAGAACAUUACAUUGUUUUUACAGCUGUGCGAGGCAUUGCACAGAAAGCAGGACAGACAUACCACUGGCGCUAUGCACCUCUGUCACAGUGUUUGUCAUGAUCAUGUUGAUCCCCUCUUCCUGUCUCCCUUCACAUUUUUGAUUCUUCCGUGUCUCUUUCUCUGCCCCACAUCCUCCUCUGUCUCGUCUCUGCCACCUCUCUGACCCCGUCUCCCAGACCUGGCGGAUAACCUGCCCAUGGACGACCUGAUCUUCCAUGAGCAGCUGCUGACCCCUCACCUGGCCCCGGCCGGCGUUGGGGGCUUCUCGUCGGCCUCCUCUCCUCCCUGGAGGUGGUCCCUGGCCCUGGUUCUUCUGCUGACGCUCUCUAUCCUACUGAUUGGCCACUACUGACGAGCGACUACAUCCCCUUCGUAAACUCAUUGACCAACGAUGGAAAACUAAUCGCCCACCUUCCUUCAAAUGUCACGUUUCCGUUAAUGACAUUUUUUUUGUUGGAUUUCAUUUGGAAUCUCAGUGUACAGUUAAAUUAAUCCUCAACGUUGGCAUGAACUAAACUGCUCUUUCUCUUCAGCUCUCUCCCUCCCCUCAAGUAUAACUUUCUCUCAUUCACUCAUUCCAUUUUUGAAACUUAAACUUUGACGAAUAACACACAUUUUUUUCUUCCACAAUAAGAGCUCACCGUGUAACUCUGUGGCACUGUGUAAAUAAGAAACUCGUUACGGUCUCCCUCCUAGACUACUCCCACUGUGUUUCAGUCCCACUAUAGCUUUUCCCCUCUGUGCCGUUACUGUACUUUAGUUUCAAGCUGACCUCAUUUAUUUUCUCAACAAGUGGUUGAGAGGCCUAGGCGGCCUCCUGUAAACGCCAUGGACCUGGACGUUUGGACGGAGACGGAGAAUGGAAAGUCCAAACUGGCACAACGGCAGCAGCAGAAGAAGAAGAAGAAGAAAGAGAGACAGACUCACUUUUACUUGAGGUAUCACAGCGGUGUGUAUCUACUGUACUGUUCGCUCAAUGGGACGGACAAUUCUAUUAUACUGAAGACUUUGUAGUAAAACGUACCUGAGUAGGUCCAGGACUUCAAGAGGCCUUCUUCUCGUCGAGCACAUGCUGAGGUUAGAUACAAAAUGGACAAAGUGAUGCGGUUUGGGCUGGUCUUAAUGUUCGGGGGGAAGAUAGUUGGAUUGUAUUGGAAUAAGGCUUGGCUAUGGCAUCUAAACAUUCACUGAUUCUGAAAAUGUUUCUUUUUAGAAUAACCCCAUUGCAGAAUGACUGUUGUACACAGCAACCAGUGAGCACACGCAGAGACAAAAGAGUUUGCGAGAAUUCAACUGAAGUAAAGGUUUUAAACAUUUUCAUGUUGAAUAUUAUUGGCUGGCUUUUGAAAUGUGUUUCUGAUAAACAUUGAGGCUAGGUAUGAUGAUCCAGCUAUUUCAACUUGUUUGAGUGUUGAAGCAGCCGUAUUUACAAGCAUUGCCCGGACUGACAUAUAGUGAAAGGCUUAUUGACGAUAAAGCUAACAAAGCUAUUAAGCUAAUUAGCCAUUAUCUAUGACGCUAUAGCUGUGCUAUAGAAGUGUUUCCCUUCUCUUUGUUACAUGUUUACAAAUUAUAUCCCUUAAAAGGUAUUGAAAUAUUUUCCUUGAAAAUUUCAAGGUAGGAACAAUACUUUUCAAUUUCAUGGUUAUUCUUUGCAAUGUGCAGCAGAAUAUGGGUGUUCUUGUAAAUAUGUGUGAAGUUGUAAUAGAUUUUAAUAGUGCUCAAGCCUUCUUAAUGUCAGGUGUUCAUUAUGUAAUUGUUCAUUGUACGACUCAUUAAAAACCUGGAGUCAGAGUUUGUGCUUGGUGAAUCAGUUAUGUUUCUUUCUUUUUUAAAUAAAUAAUUAAGGCCAAAAAAAUGAAAUAAAGAUAUCUUGCACAUACGCUGAACUCCCAUAUAUUUUCAAUGAAUCCAUGUUGGAAAAAACUAUUUUGUGAAGACCUAAUUCUUUAACUUAUUUCUUGAGUGAUUGUUUAAAGGAGACAUAUUAUACCACCAGGUGUGAGUUUGAUUAGCUUUACAAGCCAUUUCGAAAAUCUGCCACAUAUGACAUCACUAGUGGGCGUGUCCACCAGAUUUUCGAAACAGCUUGUAAGGCUAAUCACACUCACACCUGAGCUCCUCAUAUGUCUCCUUUAAAUCGAAUUGAGGGACAGUAGGAGUUGGCUGACUAUGCUAAGCGCUGACAAACAAUCAACCACACUCAGACCUAUGUUUUAAUCAAAUGUUGAUUGGAAACUGUAUUAUUUUAAAAAAUGGACACAAUGAUUGAUUAUAGGGCUUGAGCUCUAUUUAAAAGAUGUGCUUCUUUGUAUAAAAAUAGUUUUUCUACAAAAUAAGUUCCAGAAUAUUAUACUGAAAUCCUGAAAUCAAAGAAUUUAUUUUAGUCACGGCCCCAUUUUAUUUCUGUUGAUUGUUAGCAUCCACAGAAACCUCUGAAUCUUAAGAGGGGUCACAUUCUAUAGGGCAGUGCUUCCUAACCUAUUUUGGCCUGUGACCCUACUUCUGGAUCUGAUGUCCCCAAUGUUAGCUAGUCCAACUCACACUUCUGUGCAUCUGCUUCCAUACAAAUUAUUAAUAAGAAAAUUAACCCAUUCAACAUCUGCCGGUAACAUCAAGAGCCAGUGAACGCAAUCAUAUCGUUCUCCUCCAAACUCAGCUUUGAGUAGUAGUUUGAUCAUGGUUGUAAUUUGUGCAAUAUUUUUGUAUAUACAGGAGGUUUAUAAGGCCUUUUAAAACAAAUAAUAAAAGGUUUGCUAAAAA